CAUUAUGGUAUGCAAUAAAGAUUUACUUACUUACUUACUUACUUAGCUUUGACCACGGUUGGACUUAAAUAAGUCACUUCUAGUACCUAAUUCAAACUAUCCCUUAGCAUUCUGAUUAGGUUAUUUUUCCUUGUUGUUCGUAGGACAGAUCGUGUUACUGAAUAUAUAUUCGCAUUGACAAGUUUGACUAAGAAAGCUCAACAAAACUAUGCUCUCUAAAUAGGUAUGUUUAAUUUCCUGUUUUUCAAACCACAAUCGAGCAAAACGAAUCAAAAAAACAACCUGUAUAAAUACAUCCAGACACAGCACGUCAUGAGGUAAACCUCGGGAACUAUCCUUGACACUUUAAUGUUUUCAGAAUCAGUGACAAAAAAUUGACACGGAUUCGCGAUUUUAUAGGAAAAUGUUUAACUGUAGUGAGUCACUGCGAGUCACAGCUUCCUGGAACGGUGUAUGUGGGGUAGGGGGUCGCCAGGUCAAGGUUAAGGGACAAUGGACGUCACAGGUGACCAGACAUACGAAAAAUUUUGACUUAAAACCAUAGUUAGUUCAAGGCCAUACAAUUCGAUUGAGGAAAUCUUGAGAUCCUUUGUUUAUUAGUUUUUGAAGAUCUUGAUCAAUAAUGGUCUCCAUGAAUUACUUCAUGAUAUUUUCCUAUUAACAUACCAUGUGAUUGCCUUUAUCUUGCUCCUUUUUUCAUAUUUUUAUUUUUUAUAUUAUUUCUAUAUUUUUUUUGGCCAGUACCAUUGAGUACAACAGAAUAAAGAGUGUCCAAUCCCUUUGCAAACCCGUUAUCGCUACUAAAUUUCAAUCACCCAGCGCCAGGAAAACUAUAUUUAAAGAAAAAAAGGCUAUUUCAUUUUUGUAAAUUUCUUACCUUUCCUUUAGUGCUGUUAUUUUGCGACAGUUAUUUAGCUAUUGAAGACGCUCCUACAGCCUAGUAUGUAGGUUAUCGACGUUUGCGAGCGCUCGUCACUUCCGGCUAAUCCGCUUCCGACCUCGAAACAUGUUAUUAACUCCUUUAGUUAAAUACCAAACUGCGCUGAAAAGUAUUUGGGGCUCAGUGUUAUUGUGAAAAAACGAAUCUCUCGGUAAAGGAUGGAAUGAAGAAAACAAGGAUAAAAAUUGUUUAUUGCGGGAGUCCAUUUUGAAAGAGAAAAUAUUAUAAAUGUCAAAAUAGCUGUCAGAGUCUUUACGUCAUUAAUAAGAUUUCAUUUUGUGUGUAACUAAAUCUCUGAAGGAUAAAGGCUAGCUUGUUAAAUUAACCACGAUGUAUAGGUACAUGAGUGAAGCCGUUGAAAAAAUCUAGUCUAUCAUUUAAAGACCAGCAACAACAAAUAUUGAGGUCACCACGCCAAACCCAUUGAGCGCGACCUGUCGCCGAGUUCGAUCCCGUAGGACAAAUAUUUGCGUGAUCCACGAAUGGUUGUCCUGAGCCGGAGAAGAGAAGGUCUCUGUGUAAGUGUCUUGAAUGUUUAUGAAACAAAAAAUUACAUAAUGUGGGAGUCGCUUAAAAAAACAAAAUCAACAAAAUAUUCCAUACAACAACUCUGAUCAAACAAACAGUAUAUCGUAUUAGUGAGUUAGCUCGCUACUGUGCACCAAGUGGUUGUUGCUCCUACAAUCGGGUCGUAUUUACAUGCAUCUAGAUCAGGUCUAGAUUCUCGGCCUGCCCCCAUCCAUGUUCGUCCUAGGGUCCUGCGAGGUCAUCUGUCCGUUUUAAUACUUGUUGUGACUAUAUUUUAGUACACUACAUAGAAUUUUAUUUUGUAAUUUACCAAGAUUACUUUAGAAUGGAAUAUCAUCCCGGGAGGUGCAAUUCAAAAGUAUGUAUCCUUUUUUUUAAGACCACGUUAUUCCGGGUUCAAUGAAUCAAUAAAUAAAAAACUUGUAUUACAUUACGCCCAAAACAUAGAGCGUGUGUUCUUUGUAAUUUUACUGCUCUAUCGAUUUAGAAAAACUCACAUUUCCCGGGGUUUUAAGAAUAAGUUCUGUAAAACAAAGUAAAAAAAAAGAAUAAUUCCUUUCUACAUAAUAAAUAUUUUCAAUAAAUCCUGCUUAUCACUUAGUGUUCCGUCUAAAUCUGUAUUUUGGACAACCGCAUCCGCAGUCCUUAGUGCACGGUGCACUGCGUGCGUCACGGCUGCGCGUGUGUGCGUGCGCAACCAUGACCCCGUUUUCACUGCGCGCGCAAACAUCUUGCAUGUGUGAGUGUACGUAGCGUAGGUGUGUAUGUGUGCGUCACAUGUGCUUGUGUUAUGUCACACGAGAUGGAGCGUGCGUGCGCCCGCGCACUACAGGUGGCUCUGCUUUGAACUUUUUAAAGUACUCAGUCCUACAAAUACAUACAUAGACGUAGCGACAAAGCUUGUGUAUGUCAAAAUAUAUACUAACCUAAAUAUGACUAAAACAUUAAUUGUUAUUUAUAACUUAAAAGAUUAAUCAUUUCCUGCAUUUUGAAAUAAACUGACAGGAAAAUAAAUAAAUUGAUUUCUAUUAACGUUGUACACCUACAUUGCUCAAUUGCGACACUUAAUCAUUAAGUACCUUUCCUACCGUUCACCAGCGAGGACCUUAGCCGUCGUGACCGUUCGAAGAUCACGGCAAAUUGGGUGUCUAGUCUAUUAAAAGCCGGAUAUCCGGUUAUUAAUACCAAAUGUAUCGAGUAGAGCAUACUCCGUAGCGUCUCAGUUACGCAAACGUUGAUCCGCGCGUUGCCUUGAGAGCUGUUAGCUGCGCAGGCGCAAUAGAUGAACAGAUUUCGAAUUUAUAGGUCUUGUGUGAUUUGGAAUUUUAAUAUCGGAAAUUCCAGCGAGAAAUACCUGACAGGCGCGGUACUACUAGGUAUUAAAUGCCUCUGUAACAGUAGCAAUUUUAAACUAUUUUGGAAACAAUUCUUAAUACAACCUAGAACUUUAUGCAGUAAUUUAGUAUUUUUCAAUUAUUUAACAUGAGUCAUAUUUUCGAUUAGACUAAAAUAUAGAGCUAUCAUCUAACGAUACUUAAUAUUCUAAGUACUUAUUACUAGAUAUCCAUAUAAAUCUAUUUGUGAACUAACAAUCAACAUUAAUGGUUGGGUGCGUGUUAUUCCCACAAGCUUUAACGGAUCACAGAUUUCAACGCGAUCGGGUCGCGAAAAUGUUGCUAGCAGAAUCAAAGAUAUUUUAAAUAUCUGUUCCUUGCCCUGUUACUUUAUUUAUGAGUAUUAAAUACGAUAUUCAUAAAGUGGGCGUCUAUAAAAAAAAUGAUUCCGUUUUCCCUGAGUUGUCUCAGCACAAACUUACAUACAUCACAUCUUUGUAUUAGUAUAGAUUAAUUACUACAAUUCCAACGAAUUCCAAUUACAAUUUAAUUUGUAAACAACGAGCGUAAUUGAGAUAAAAUACUGUAAUAAUCAUAGUUAACGUAUUGUACCUAAUUAUUAUAUCAUUAUGCAAUCAUAGAUAUAUAAUCUAAGAUUAUAGGCGGCGGCAGGCGCUCAACAAACAACUUUAUACAUCUUUUACAAUUAAUCUUUUACUUUUUUUUAAAGCGACUCCCGCACAUAAAUAUGUAUUGAAUCCGUGUGUCGCGGGAUGUUCGAAAAUAAUUAAGUUAUGCCAAUAGUCAUAUACUAGGCAUGCACAAAGACUCGGACCAAACAUUUGUGGAUCAUACGAAUACCUUGUUUUACGCAGGUAUCGAACCAGCGACACGUAUCUAACUCACAGUGAGUUUGGCAGUGCCCUAGUCCACUCGGCUAUCACGAGUAUGAUUAUGAUUCUGUUAUAACACCAUUUUAGGUCCCUGUUCACGACACUGUAUAGAGUGUGCGCACGUCAGGCGGUCUCCAGUAGUUUCCAUCUCAAUAGUCCGACGCCCGCGGCAACCCUACUUUAUCUAAAUCAAGUUUCUACAGCAUAUGUUUGUGUUAGAUUCAGACUUCAGGCUCGAAAACUAUGCUUUAUUUAACCCUGAAAUAUGCCUACCAUGGUACAUUAAAUUGAAUGUAUUAAGAAAUUAAAUUGAUUCUAAAAUAAUGUACUGGGAAGAGUGUGAAUAGAAGAAUGAGUAUGUCUUUAUAAAUGCCAAAGGAAUAGUUAUAGAAUUUUAUGUAAAAAUUGGUUUACGACUUGGAUGUGUAUACCAGUUGGAAUAAAAUAAUCAUAAGGGAAAUUGUUAAGGUUUGCUUUAGUCAUAGCUACUUGAAGAUACUUUAAGAGACGAGUAUACAGGUUUAGAAAACUAUCCAGCUAGCAACUCAGUCUGUGUGCGUUCUCGGUAGUUUGAUAGACAUAUUUAUUUUAAAAAGUAAAUAUUAUUUUAAAGGCAUAUCUUUAUUUAUGUAAUUUCCAGAAUAGAAGUGUUUUACCAACAUGAGGUUAUCUCAAUAAAAAGUCCCAAAAUUCAAUUCCUCAUUAUAACGAGGUUUAGUUUCAGGAUUUUCAAUUGAAAUUAAUUACUGAAAAACUGUUAUAUAUUACCACUCAACUUUACUGUAACACGAAGUAAUCCGCAUCAUCAUUACCGGUAGCCAAACUUCCGGCAGUUAAGUUAAAACCAAGUUUUUAAACAGACAGAGGAAAAUCAACGAUUCAUUUAAUACAAUAAUUAUAGCAGUAAUAUUAUGAAUGGAUUCCCGGAAUCCAAUAUCAGGUCGGCGGACAUUUCUCGGUGUUGCGCCCCUGACCCAGAAUCGGGCGCCGUACAUAAAUAAACAAGUCAAUGUGUGCCCCGUGGCGGCACUCGGACCCGCGGACCUGACGCGCACCUGACACCAUGACGUCCAAUAAAAGUUCACUUUUUAUCGAUAAGCAAUUGACAAUAUUCAUAGUAGGCUUGAAAAGUAAAAUAGGAAUAAAUCUCGAUAAAAAAGAAAUCUCUUUCAAUCGCCAGUCAUAUUUAUUUAUUUAUUUUUUAUUUUUUUUAUUAUAAAGGUUCUUCAACGACUUAUUCACUAUAACAUAUUACAUAGACAACUAGUAGGUACAUGGAUAAUCAUGGUGAAUUUGUCACUUAAAGAAGAACACAGCUUAAACAUAAAUAAACUAUACAACUAUGAGAUCUGUUUCAAUUAAAAAUUUGGAAGAUAAUAUGACGUACUUUACUCUGUUUUAGAACAACAUUCUUUAAUAAGCUAGCAACACUCCUUUAUCAGUUAACAAUGGGUAAUUAGAAUUAUUAAAACAGAAGAGAAGUAUUAUCAUUGUGAAAA